rnacentral:rRNA from 1 species
GACGAACGCUGGCGGCGUGCCUAAUACAUGCAAGUAGAACGCUGAAGGAGGAGCUUGCUUCUCUGGAUGAGUUGCGAACGGGUGAGUAACGCGUAGGUAACCUGCCUGGUAGCGGGGGAUAACUAUUGGAAACGAUAGCUAAUACCGCAUAAUAGUAGAUGUUGCAUGACAUUUGCUUAAAAGGUGCAAUUGCAUCACUACCAGAUGGACCUGCGUUGUAUUAGCUAGUUGGUGAGGUAACGGCUCACCAAGGCAACGAUACAUAGCCGACCUGAGAGGGUGAUCGGCCAAACUGGGACUGAGACAAGGCCCAGACUCCUACGGGAGGAAGCAGUAGGGAAUCUUCGGGCAUGGACGGAAGUCUGAACGAGCAAAGCCGCGGGAGUGAAGAAGGUUUUCGGAUCGUAAAGCUCUGUUGUAAGAGAAGAAAGAGUGUGAGAGUGGAAAGUUCACAACGUGACGGUAUCUUAACAGAAAGGGACGGCUAACUACGUG